rnacentral:rRNA from 1 species
ACUCCUGCGGGAGGCAGCAGUGGGGAAUUUUGGACAAUGGGCGAAAGCCUGAUCCAGCCAUGCCGCGUGCAGGAUGAAGGCCUUCGGGUUGUAAACUGCUUUUGUACGGAACGAAACGGCCUUUUCUAAUAAAGAGGGCUAAUGACGGUACCGUAAGAAUAAGCACCGGCUAACUACGUGCCAGCAGCCGCGGUAAUACGUAGGGUGCAAGCGUUAAUCGGAAUUACUGGGCGUAAAGCGUGCGCAGGCGGUUAUGUAAGACAGUUGUGAAAUCCCCGGGCUCAACCUGGGAACUGCAUCUGUGACUGCAUAGCUAGAGUACGGUAGAGGGGGAUGGAAUUCCGCGUGGAGCAGUGAAAUGCGUAGAUAUGCGGAGGAACACCGAUGGCGAAGGCAAUCCCCUGGACCUGUACUGACGCUCAUGCACGAAAGCGUGGGGAGCAAACAGGAUUAGAAACCCCGGUAGUCCC